CACGUAGGGACCGAGCGUUGUCCGGAAUCAUUGGGCGUAAAGAGCGUGUAGGCGGCUAUUUAAGUCCUGCGUGAAAUCCUGCGGCUCAACCGCAGACGGUCGUGGGAAACUGGAUGGCUAGAGUGCGGGAGAGGAGAGUGGAAUUCCCGGUGUAGCGGUGAAAUGCGCAGAUAUCGGGAAGAACACCCGUGGCGAAGGCGGCUCUCUGGAACGCAACUGACGCUGAGACGCGAAAGCGUGGGGAGCAAACAGG
rnacentral:rRNA from 1 species